rnacentral:rRNA from 1 species
UACGUAGGGUCCGAGCGUUGUCCGGAAUUAUUGGGCGUAAAGAGCUCGUAGGCGGUAUGUCGCGUCUGCUGUGAAAGACCGGGGCUUAACUUCGGUUUUGCAGUGGAUACAGGCAUGCUUGAGGUAGGUAGGGGAGACUGGAAUUCCUGGCGUAGCGGUGAAAUGCGCAGAUAUCAGGAGGAACACCGGUGGCGAAGGCGGGUCUCUGGGCCUUACCUGACGCUGAGGAGCGAAAGCAUGGGUAGCCAACAGGAAUAGAUACCCGCGUAGU